rfam:Rattus norvegicus chromosome 9, whole genome shotgun sequence.
GGGGAUUUAGCUCAGUGGUAGAGCGCUUGCCUAGCAAGCUCAAGGCCCUGGGCUCAGUCCCCA